rnacentral:ncRNA from 21 species
GAAUUGAAUAUUGUUCAAGGUGCAUUUCAACAAUGCUUAAUAGGGAAUGUGGUGAGAAGCCACAGCAGCCCCCGCUACUGUAAGGAUGACGAAAGCUUAAGGUUUUGGAGAACUUAUGCUCCACUGUUAAAUCGGGAAGGAGAAGUUAGUAGAAUGAUUCCAAGCCAGGAGACCUGCCUAAAAUGAUACAUGCUCU